rnacentral:rRNA from 1 species
GUGAGGAAUAUUGGACAAUGGGCGCAAGCCUGAUCCAGCCAUGCCGCGUGCAGGAAGACGCAUCUAUGGUGUGUAAACUGCUUUUGUACGGGAAGAAACACUCCCUCGUGCGGGAGCUUGACGGUACCGUAAGAAUAAGGAUCGGCUAACUCCGUGCCAGCAGCCGCGGUAAUACGGAGGAUCCAAGCGUUAUCCGGAAUCAUUGGGUUUAAAGGGUCCGUAGGCGGUUUAAUAAGUCAGUGGUGAAAGCCCAUCUCUCAACGAUGGAACGGCCAUUGAUACUGUUAGACUUGAAUUACAAGGAAGUAACUAGAAUAUGUAGGGUAGCGGUGAAAUGCUUAGAUAUUACAUAGAAUACCAAUUGCGAAGGCAGGUUACUACUUGUGGAUUGACGCUGAUGGACGAAAGCGUGGUGAGCGAACAGGAUUAGAAACCCCUGUAGUCC